rnacentral:lncRNA from 1 species
GAAAAUGGGAAAUUCAGGGGGAAAGGGGAAAUUUUGAGGUGAAAAAAUGGAAUUUUUGGGUGGAAAAAUCCCAAAUUUGGGGCCCCGCCCCUCCCCCGACACCCAACGACCAUAAAUGGUUUUAUGCAAAUUUAUUUAAAUUAGGGAUCAACUCAUCAAAAAGGACCUUGAGGGGGGGAAUUUGGGGGGUCUCACUCUGGAUUUUGGGGUUUUUGGGGCUGUCAAUCAAAGUUUUGGGGUCAUUUUUCAGGAUUUUGGGGCUCGAAGUGGGCGGGGCCCCGAGGAAUUCACCGGGAUUGGGAUUUGGGGUUUGGAUUUGGGGAUUUUGGGGUCAAAUGUUGGGAUUUUGGGGUCAUUUAUUGGGAUUUUGGGGUCAUUUAUUGGGAUUUUGGGGUCAAUUGUUGGGAUUUUGGGGUCGGUUCUUGGGAUUUUGGGAUUUUGGGGUCAUUUAUUGGGAUUUUGGGGUCGGUUGUUGGGAUUUUGGGGUCGGUUGUUGGGAUUUUUGGGGUUGGUUGUUGGGAUUUUGGGGUCUCCAUUGGAAUUUUGGGAUUUUGGGGUCUGUACAGGGAUUUUUGGGGGUUUUUUGGGGGCGCUGAUGCAGAUUUUGGGGUCGGUUAUUGGGAUUUUGGGGUCACUGAUGGAGAUUUUGGGGUCUCUAUUGGGAUUUUGGGGUCAUUUAUUGGGAUUUCGGGGUCAGUUGUUGGGAUUUGGGGAUUUUGGGGUUGCCAAUGGAGAUUUUGGGGUCAAUUGUUGGGAUUUGGGGGCCAUUAUUGGGAAUUUGGGGGUUUUGGGGGCGCCGAUGCAGAUUUUGGGGUCGGUUAUUGGGAUUUUGGGGUCUGUACAGAAAUUUUGAGGUCAUUUAUUGAGA